CCGUAAUUUAUUUAUGACAACGUGCAGCUUCUCUCGACGAUGUCCAACGUAUAAAGAAAUAUGACAAACCCGAAGAUUCUUCGAGUGCGGAUAUUUUGUCUUGACUAUGAGAUUAUACUCUGCAUGUAUUCGCAAUCUCUCUCUCGCGAGUCGCUAUAUACGCGCCACGACGAGGGAUUACGAACGCUACCGCCUAAUUUGAGAUGCACCUGUUACUCAAGUCUGCGCGCGGCUUAAGUGGAAUCGGAAACCAGAUGCGCGCCAGAUAGAUCGAUGAAGGAGGAAGGAGAAGGAUAAUCCGAAAGGGGAAAGGAGAAAAUACUCGUGUAACUCGUCGGCGGACUUCCAGGCAGACUGCAUAUGGUGAGGUGAGGCGAGACGUAUUGACACACGCUCACAUGAGAGAUCCUGGGGUUGACUCCGCAGCGCGUAGAGAUGAGAAAAAAAGAGAGAGAGAGAGAGAGAGAGAGCAGAGGAGGGAAGAAGGAAGAGCGCCAUAAGACACCUCCAUAGACGAGGUCGCCGUUCACGGAGUCAGGCUUACUGCAGAGGGAUGGGAAUCGUCCGUGAGAGAGCGGCGCUACAUGCCGCGGGAGGGUGAGGUGAACGUUGGUGGCUGGAUGACGGUGGUUGGAAACCGGCUGCUGCCUUAUCUCCGCGUACCGAGAUUGACUUCCUUUCUAUCCAUUCAGCCGCUCAAAUGAGUUCCUUUGAUAACUGUUGUGUGAUCGAGUGCACUGAAUACUGAAGGGUCCGUAGCCCAGCGGCGAAUAUUUCGCUGUCUGACGGCGCCGCGUCGCGGAAAGAAAAUUUCGGUCCAAACUGGUGCGCGACGUGCCCGUAUCCUUGAAGUUUUUCUUAUCUCAAAAAUUAAUAAAUGAAUAUAUGACGAUCGAUUACCAUUAGUUUGUGUAAACUUUGAGAACUCGUUAGAAAAUAUGGCGUUUUUAAAUAAUCUUGCCGAUGCAUAUUUCUCGAUAAAUCGGAAAGUUAUUAUUUUUUAGCUGCGUGUUAAGAUCAAUCCACUUAACAAUCUCGCACGCGAGCAAACGAACAACUUUGAACGUGCAUAAUUCGCAUACGAGCACACGUUGAUGCGGGAUUAGAUUCUUUCCGUCGACGGUACCCAAACGCGUCGCAACGUCUCCGUACGGAAGAUUGCACCCUUUCCAGUCCUUAGAAGCUCUUAAUUAAUGGCACCGGCACACCGACAUGGGGCCCUCCAACGCGCGGGGAGGGUAAGGAGAGUUUAUGCUGCAGACCUGUAAUCUCAUGAUGCCGUAAGUUAUUCUAAAUGCACUAGUGGGACCUACGAGAUAUCCUCUCGGUGUUCUCUGGGAGUUACAUGAACGCGAGGACAUGGCAUUGCAAAAAUUCCAGAAAAGUUAUAGCCUAAGGAUAGUGCUCGACGUAAGUAACGAAGGAAGGACGAGGGUUGAUAAUUGUCGGGACACUCCGGAUUUGCCCCUGGCCCCACGAGAGACCAUAGAUUACAAAGUCUGCCUCUUCCGUCUCCUCUAUGCGAGCCUUCUUCCUGUUCUCGCUGAUGAUAUCGGCCUUUCGAGAGCCUACGGGAUAAGCCUAAGAACGCCAAGGAUAAUUAACGUGCCGCCGUAUGACUCACGCGAGCGACUGUAAUACAUGUAAAUUUCAAGCAAGGGUUAAGCGCAAGAAUGCCCUUUUUCAAGCGAUAACUUGCGCCACACGCCAUUCUCCUCAAGAACUCGUUACUAUUAUUAUAACAUUCUUGUAUAAAGAGGCUGAAAGGGAUGAUAAGGGAGAAUUAUUAACACGGAAGAAUGUAGAUAAUAAAUGUUUGAUUUAUAUUGCCCGUACAGGCUAAUUGAAAAACGUACAUACUUUUUAAAAAUAAAUGUGCAAAUCAAGCACAUAU